GCAAUUCAAAUAUUUUGAUAAUAUUUAAUUAUUUUUUGUGUUUAAUUAAAAUAAUAUUUAAUUGUGAAUGUUUUUAGUAUAUUUUAUAGAAAUGAAAAUACAUAUGAUAAUUUAUUAAUACAGUAUUGGAUUGUUGAAAUAUAUUGAAUUAUAUUUAUUUAGAAGGUAGUUAUAUGUACCUUUUGUAUCAGGGUUAAUUAAAUAAUUUUAAUUUAAUUUUAAUUUCUCGAAUCAAUAGGAUUAAUUUAUUUAUGAUAGUUAAUGUUAGAAAAUUAUUAUGAAUUAUUAAAUGGUAAUGAUAUGUUAUUCGACUUUUGAGAUAUCUAGUUUCCUAAGAAAUAAAUUUAAUUUAUAUAUUAGUUUACAUUAUUUAUUUUGUUAUUAUGGUGUUUAUAUUAAUAUAAAUUAUUUUAGGGAUAAGCUUGGAAUAUUUAUUAAUUAUAUUGUAGUGAGUAUGGAAAAAAAAAUGUGAACUUUAAAAUAGUUAUUAUAUGAAGUAUGUUAAAAUUUAAUGUUAUUAAUUUUUAUUUAUUAUUAAUAUUGUAUUGGGAUUUUUAAAUAAAUAAUUUAUUUAUAAUAAUAAUGAUUAAAUUAGUAAAAUUUUUUAUAUUUUAUUGUGAAUUAUUUUUGAUAGAAAUUAUUUUAAGGAAUUAGGCAAAAUACUUAAUUGUUCGCCUGUUUAUCAAAAACAUGUCUUCUUGAAUUUAAUUGGAAGUCGGGUCUGUCCACUGAAAGAUAUUUUAAAGGACCGCGGUAUAUUGACCGUGCAAAGGUAGCAUAAUCAUUAGUUUUUUAAUUGGGAACUGGAAUGAAUGGUUUGACGAAAUGAUUAAUGUCUCUCUUAUAAUUAAUUGAAUUUUACUUUUAAGUUAAAAGGCUUAAAUAUUAAUAAGGGACGAUAAGACCCUAUAGAUCUUUAUAAUGGAUUUAUUAUUAUUGUUUUAGUUGUUAUAUAAUAUAUUUUAUUAAUUUUAUUAUUUUGUUGGGGUGAUGUGAGAAUAUAUUAACUUCUUAAUAUUUAACUUUAAUGAUUGAAUUUAAGAUCCUAUUUUAUGGAAAAGAAGAUUAAGAUACCUUAGGGAUAACAGCGUAAUUUUAUUGAAAAGUUCUUAUUGAUAAUAAAGGUUGCGACCUCGAUGUUGGAUUAAGAAUAUAUGUUGGUGUAGAUGCUAAUUAUAUUGGUCUGUUCGACCAUUAAAUUCUUACAUGAUCUGAGUUCAAACCGGUGUAAGCCAGGUUGGUUUCUAUCUUUUUUAUUAUAAUAUAUUGUAGUACGAAAGGACCUAGUAUAUUAAAUAUUUUAUUAAUAUUG
rnacentral:rRNA from 1 species